UGGUAAUUCAGCCAUAUUCGUAUAAGUUUUCAAGCCACGAUUUUUGAGAAAUAUUUCUCCGCGACCAUCGACUCUUUCCAAGAUGCCGUCAAGUGUCUCUCGGAAUUCGCAUGCAACGCAAGUUUCCCGGACACGAGUAUGGAAG